rnacentral:RNase_P_RNA from 1 species
GCUAGAGACAAUCUUGUACUUGGGGCUAACAAACGGGCACGAGGGAUCCUUCGGGAUCUCAUAAAGUUGCCUCCAAUGUGCCUCGGGAAGGUCUGAGAUAAGGUGGGCCCUCGAUUUGUGGGAGGGUUUAUGUUCUAGCAGGACACUCAACUAAUGAGAGAUGGGGGGACCAGAAAUUCCUGUGUGGCAUCCUUUUGUUGCACAUUGAAAUCUCCCAUUACCGGCUUUUUGAGUCUAAUGUACAAGUUUACCCUUCAAAUUUUCAUCAAAAAUAUCGAGAAUUUGGGGUGAAAACUCAAUUCAGACUAAUCUGUAUCUAGC